GACGAACGCUGGCGGCGCGCCUAACACAUGCAAGUCGAACGGAGCUGAGAGAAGCUUGCUUUUCUUAGCUUAGUGGCGAACGGGUGAGUAACGCGUGAGUAACCUGCCCUGGAGUGGGGGACAACAGUUGGAAACGACUGCUAAUACCGCAUAAGCCCACGAUCCGGCAUCGGAUUGAGGGAAAAGGAUUUAUUCGCUUCAGGAUGGACUCGCGUCCAAUUAGCUAGUUGGUGAGGUAACGGCCCACCAAGGCGACGAUUGGUAGCCGGACUGAGAGGUUGAACGGCCACAUUGGGACUGAGACACGGCCCAGACCCCUACGGGAGGCAGCAGUGGGGGAUAUUGCACAAUGGGGGAAACCCUGAUGCAGCGACGCCGCGUGGAGGAAGAAGGUUUUCGGAUUGUAAACUCCUGUCGUUAGGGACGAUAAUGACGGUACCUAACAAGAAAGCACCGGCUAACUACGUG
rnacentral:rRNA from 1 species